UUAAAAGUACUUAAUUUAGGUAGAGUUUUUACACAUGUCCUUGUGGAUCAAACCCAUUAGCAUUUGCAUUUGCCCAAGCAAACUGACUGUUCUCCAUCUGAACUUCUCCCAAAUUCUCCUCCAUUUUCACGUCGAAACCCUCCAGAUUUUCAUAAGCAUUAAAUCAAUUUCUAGAGCUACUGGCGGGGCCAAAUCUGCCUCGCCACCCACAAUAUCCACCGGUUGUUCUUCCUCAACAGGGGCUGGUGGUUGUGGC
rnacentral:lncRNA from 1 species